rnacentral:rRNA from 1 species
GGUUAAGCGACUAAGCGUACACGGUGGAUGCCCUGGCAGUCAGAGGCGAUGAAGGACGUGCUAAUCUGCGAUAAGCGCCGGUAAGGUGAUAUGAACCGUUAUAACCGGCGAUUUCCGAAUGGGGAAACCCAGUGUGAUUCGUCACACUAUCAUUAACUGAAUCCAUAGGUUAAUGAGGCGAACCGGGGGAACUGAAACAUCUAAGUACC